ACCUAGAGAUCAAUUCAUUUUUAUCAAUAUUUGGGAAAAUCAGUGACAUAAAUCAGCUCCAGCAUCAAACUUCAGCUGCUACAGAGAAGGCCAGGUGUAUGGAGCAAACAAAGCCUGCAGCCUGGGAGAUUAGGAACCACUCCUAACAAUGGACUUAAUAACAUCACAUUCAUCACCUGAUUGGAUUCUUCCAACAUGAAGCUC
rnacentral:lncRNA from 1 species